rnacentral:rRNA from 1 species
UACGUAGGGAGCAAGCGUUGUCCGGAAUCAUUGGGCGUAAAGCGCGCGUAGGUGGCCUCAUAAGUCCGCUGUGAAAGUCAAAGGCUCAACCUUUGAAAGCCGGUGGAUACUGUGAGGCUAGAGUACGGAAGAGGCGAGUGGAAUUCCUGGUGUAGCGGUGAAAUGCGUAGAUAUCGAGAGGAACACCUGCGGCGAAGGCGGGUUGCUGGGCUGACACUGACGCUGACAGCGCGAAAGCCAGGGGAGCAAACGGG